UGUCGACUAUUUCAGCCCAAAAAAUCAGCUACUUUAUUAAACCAGCGACUCACAACAACAACAAAAAAAAGUCAAAUUAAGGCGAGGUCAAAGGAGAGAGAAAAUGACUGGAGAGGAGAUCACUGGACCAGCGGCGCCGAAGAUGGUUCGUCUUUUGUCUUUCAUGGCUGCCGGAGUGAUAUGCACUUUUGCAAUCAACCAGUGGAGAAAAUUUGAGAGCAAAAGAGUUGAACAAAAUGAGAAUGAAUUGCUUGAUUCGCAGUCAAUUUCAAUUCAGAAAGAGCUCAAAUGAAUGUUUCUUUAAGUUGUUUUUAUGCCAUUGUUGUGAUUUUUUUUGUUUUUGUCAAGAGAUUGUUAGUGGAGUUUUGUGUGUAUUAUGGAAUUUUAAGUGUUUCCAAAUGAUUGGAAAUUGUUUCAGAGAGAUUGCAAGUUAUAGGAUUUGAUGAAUAUGAGAUUGUAAUUUUCUCUCUUU